rnacentral:siRNA from 1 species
AGGGACUUCACUCUUCUGU